GUGCUCAUUUCAGCAGCACAUAUCCGAAAAUUGGAACAAUCCAGAAGAGUUAGCAGGGCCCCUGUGCUAGGAUGAAGCACAAAUUCAUGAUGCAUUCCAUAUUUUA
ensembl:snRNA U6 U6 spliceosomal RNA